UCCAGACCCCGAAAGGACAGGCUACAACCUGCGUACUCCAGCACAAAAGAGAAAAUAUUGGAACGGGAAUGGCCGAGGGAAGAAAGUAAAGAAUUAAAGGAAGUCCACGGCUGUCAAUUCCUUUCUCCACGCCUCCUCUGCACAUCAUCCGAAAACCAUACAGGCAAUACCUACAGGGCAAUUUUUAAGAACUCGUAGGAUCUGCUCCAAUGACGAGCACUUCGAACAGCAGGCAUCUGCUUUAACACAGCGAUUCCUUGAAAGAGGAUACCAACCUAAUACGAUCCAGCAAGGCUAUGAGAGAGCUAAAAAACAACAAGAGAUUCCUUGCUGAUUAAUCAUCCUUGUACUUCUGGGAUAUGGUGGUGAUGGAUCCAGUAACCAACUAGGGGAAGAUAUGAUCGGGACGAAGGAGACGACCUGAAACGAACAUCUAAUAAUACAUACAUGCGAGAAUAUACAUCAUAUGGAUAACUAGAUGUAUUGUGUGUAUAUAUUCCCCAUAUCAUCAUUGGGGUUACUCUUGCCCAUAUGGGCCAUCACCAGGACAGUGUUUUGCUUUGUUUGGGGAUCCAAGAUGGACAGAGUGAAGCGAGCCAUCAUGUACAAAGAGCCCCUUAAGGGCGGACAGGGCAUUCUGGACCUGACCACUUUACUGCGGAUCGCCUUUGUUUGUGACAACGUUCGUCGGACUCUGAGAACAGCUAACGGCUCUACGAGCAAGUCUAUGUCUCGCUUUUUCCUCCUGCCCCUCUGGAGGGGUCUGGACUGGGACAAUUGAGACAGCUCCAUCCCUUACAACUGGCACGCUCCCUGGUAUUACAGAGAUGUCAUCAAGUUUGUGAGGGAACACCAACUGGAGGGCCUCAAGCCCGACUUGUGGAAACCAAAGACUAUUCACAAGCUCAUCAGAGCAAAGGAUGCGGUGCAGUCAAUUCCAGGGAUCUACGACACCGUAGAGAGAGUUUGAACUAAUGUGUCGUCAGACAGGUUAACCAACGGGCACAAGGACUUGCCAUAAAUGGCCAUUCAGGGAGGACUGCCAAUUUGGUCAUUCAUGCUCGCCUGCAACCUGUGCAAAACCCGGUACUGCUCCAGGUGUCCUUUCAUGGAGGAAACAUUGUACCACCUGUUUUGGGAUGCCCUGGAAAAUGAACUCAAAGACUCUGUGUCCAGGAACAGCCUGCCAUACACUUCGGUGCUGUAUGGACUAUUUCCUGGGAUUCAUACUGUUGAGGCCAUCAAGGAGGCCUGGCGCCUUAUGAACUGUUUUAAGGACGCUAUAUGGCUAGCCAAAAACCGGCUCAUUCUCAGGAGGGAGAACAUGUUCGUACUGGACUUCUACAGAUUUAUACAUAGUCUGCUGCGGGAUUACAACAUCUUGGAUGUCAACGACAAAGAAGAGGACUAAACCCCUCUCCUUCCCCCUCCCCCCAUUUCGGUCUUCUCAGUCACUGUUUAAAUGCUUUGUUGGAAGGUUCUGUGAUUGAAUAGAUAUGCUAGUGUAGCAUGCAUUGUGAUGUAUAGUGUAGGUUAGCCUGUGCUUUACAUAACAAUGCCAUGCUCGCAAAGAAGACUGUAAGUAAUUUAUUAGGUGCUGCCUCGUGGCCUGUGCUGCGUCACAGUACUAAAGUAUGUACAGUAUGUAUAAUGAUUGAUUUUAAUA